UUCGGUUGAUCCUGCCGGAGGUCACUGCUAUUGGGAUUCGACUAAGCCAUGCGAGUCGAGAGGGUUCGGCCCUCGGCUGACGGCCCAGUAACACGUGGAUAAUCUGCCCUUAGGUGGAGGAUAAUCUCGGGAAACUGAGGAUAAUACUCCAUAGAUCUAGGAUGCUGGAAUGCAUCUAGAUUGAAAGCUCCGGCGCCUAAGGAUGAGUCUGCGGACUAUCAGGUUGUAGUCAGGGUAAAGACCUGACUAGCCUACGACGGAUACGGGUUGUGAGAGCAAUAACCCGGAGACGAUAUCUGAGACACGAUAUCGGGCCCUACGGGGCGCAGCAGGCGCGAAAACUUCACACUGUGCGAAAGCGCGAUGAGGGAAUCCCAAGUGUUUGCUCGUAAGAGUAAACUGUUUCUUUGUUUAAAACGCAGAGAGAGUAAGGGCUGGGUAAGACGGGUGCCAGCCGCCGCGGUAAUACCUGCAGCUCGAGUGGUGAUCAUUAUUAUUGGGCCUAAAACGUCCGUAGCCGGUUUAGUAAAUGCCUGGGUAAAUCGUGUAGCUUAACUAUACGACUUCCGGGUAGACUGCUAAACUUGAGACCGGGAGAGGCUAGAGGUACUCCUGGGGUAGAGGUGAAAUUCUGUAUUCCUAGGGGGACCACCAAGUGGCGAGGGCGUCUAGCUAGAACGGGUCUGACGGUGAGGGACGAAGCCCUGGGGCACAACCCGGAAUAAGAUUCCCGG
rnacentral:rRNA from 1 species